GAUGAAGAACGUAGCGAAAUGCGAUAAGUAAUGUGAAUUGCAGAAUUCAGUGAAUCAUCGAAUCUUUGAACGCACAUUGCGCCCGCCAGUAUUCUGGCGGGCAUGCCUGUUCGAGCGUCAUUUCCACCAUCAGGCCCCCGGGCCUGUGUUGGGGACCUGCGGCCGCCCGCAGGCCCCGAAAUUCAGUGGCGGUCGCGCCGUAGCAACCGAGCGUAGUAACUAAAACGUCUCGCUCUGGCUCGCUGGGCGCGCUCCGGCCGUAAAACACCCCCCCUUUUCGCAAAGGUUGACCUCGGAUCAGGUAGGAAUACCCGCUGAACUUAAGCAUAUCAAUAAGCGGAGGA
rnacentral:misc_RNA from 1 species